AGUGAACGCUGGCGGUAGGCCUAACACAUGCAAGUCGAACGGCAGCACAGUAAGAGCUUGCUCUUACGGGUGGCGAGUGGCGGACGGGUGAGGAAUACAUCGGAAUCUACUUUUUCGUGGGGGAUAACGUAGGGAAACUUACGCUAAUACCGCAUACGACCUACGGGUGAAAGCAGGGGAUCUUCGGACCUUGCGCGAUUGAAUGAGCCGAUGUCGGAUUAGCUAGUUGGCGGGGUAAAGGCCCACCAAGGCGACGAUCCGUAGCUGGUCUGAGAGGAUGAUAGGCCACACUGGAACUGAGACACGGUCCAGACUCCUGCGGGAGGCAGCAGUGGGGAAUAUUGGACAAUGGGCGCAAGCCUGAUCCAGCCAUACCGCGUGGGUGAAGGAGGCCUUCGGGUUGUAAAGCCCUUUUGUUGGGAAAGAAAAGCAGCAGGUUAAUACCCCGCUGUUCUGACGGUACCCAAAGAAUAAGCACCGGCUAACUUCGUG
rnacentral:rRNA from 1 species